UACGAAGGGGGCGAGCGUUGUUCGGAUUUACUGGGCGUAAAGGGCGCGCAGGCGGCCGCAUUUGUCAGGCGUGAAAGCCCCGGGCUUAACCUGGGAACUGCGUUUGAUACGGUGUGGCUAGAGUUCGGGAGAGGAGAGUGGAAUUCCCAGUGUAGAGGUGAAAUGCGUAGAUAUCGGGAGGAACACCAGUGGCGAAGGCGACUACCUGGCCUGUUCUUGACGCUGAGGCGCGAAAGCUAGGGGAGCAAACGGG
rnacentral:rRNA from 1 species